UUUGAUUCUGGCUCAGAACGAACGCUGGCGGCGUGGAUAAGACAUGCAAGUCGAACGAUUACUAUUGGGUAGCAAUAUUCGGUAGUGAGAGUGGCGCAAGGGUGCGUAACACGUGGGUAAUUUGCCGUGAAGUCUGGGAUAACUUGCUGAAAGGCGAGCUAAUACCGGAUGUGAUUGCUGGAGGGCAUCCUCUGGCACUUAAAGUCGGGGACCGUAAGGCCUGACACUUUUCGAUAAGCCCGCGGCCUAUCAGCUAGUUGGUGAGGUAAUGGCUCACCAAGGCUAAGACGGGUAGCUGGUCUGAGAGGACGACCAGCCACACUGGAACUGAGACACGGUCCAGACACCUACGGGUGGCAGCAGUCGAGAAUUUUUCUCAAUGGGGGAAACCCUGAAGGAGCGACGCCGCGUGGGGGAUGAAUGGCUUCGGCCCGUAAACCCCUGUCAUUUGCGAUCAAACCUUACGACCUAACACGUCGUAAGCUGAUAGUAGCGGAAGAGGAAGGGACGGCUAACUCUGUGCCAGCAGCCGCGGUAAUACAGAGGUCCCAAGCGUUGUUCGGAUUCACUGGGCGUAAAGGGUGCGUAGGCGGUCGGGUAAGUCUGACGUGAAAUCUUCAAGCUCAACUUGGAAACUGCGUCGGAUACUAUUCGGCUAGAGGAAUGGAGGGGAGACUGGAAUACUUGGUGUAGCAGUGAAAUGCGUAGAUAUCAAGUGGAACACCAGUGGCGAAGGCGAGUCUCUGGACAUUUCCUGACGCUGAGGCACGAAAGCCAGGGAGCAAACGGGAUUAGAUACCCCGGUAGUCCUGGCCCUAAACGGUGCACGUUUGCUGUAAGAGGAAUCGACCCCUUUUGUGGCGAAGCUAACGCGUUAACGUGCCGCCUGGGAAGUACGGCCGCAAGGUUAAAACUCAAGAAAUUGACGGGGGGCCUGCA
rnacentral:rRNA from 1 species